UACGUACUGUGCGAACGUUAUUCGGAAUCACUGGGCUUAAAGGGUGUGUAGGCGGCCAGCUAAGUAGGGUGUGAAAGGCCUCGGCCUAACCGAGGCAUUGCGCUCUAAACUGACUGGCUUGAGUAAGAUAGGGGUGUGCGGAACUUCCAGUGGAGCGGUGAAAUGUGUUGAUAUUGGAAGGAACGCCGGUGGCGAAAGCGGCACACUGGGUCUUUACUGACGCUGAGACACGAAAGCCAGGGUAGCGAACGGG
rnacentral:rRNA from 1 species